UUUCCUUUUAUUACUUAAUUGGAGUAAUAAUUACUUAUAUUAAUUUUAUAAUAUAAGUCUUUUCGAAGAUUAACUUUUAGUUUUACUUUGUUUCUAACUUCUAUUUUAUGUACAUUUGCUGUUGCAUUAACUUUGGCUUCUGAUUUUACCUGUGUCCUUCAUUCUAUUUUAUUUUUUUCUAAUUUGCUUUUGAUGUUGUGUUUUGUAUCUUCUUUAAUUAGAUAUAUGAUCCAUUUUUUUUUUGUCAGUGUCCUGCCAAAACCCACCAGGAGUAAGCUGGAUUUGUUGCUUCUUUUAGUGAGAAAUAUUUAAGAAGUGUGGCUUUUCUCUGGAUUAGCUAUUCUCAGGAAGUGGGAGUAGUUCUAUGAUUGGGUAUCUGAAUAAAUCUUUUCUAGAAGGAGACAUGAAUACAGAGAGGCUAAAGCUGUAAUUGAUGAAAAAGUAGCCAUUGCUUAUAUUAACCGGGAGACAGGAAUGUGCACUGUUUUGUGGUUUAGAAAAUGUUUAUACUUUUUCUGUAUUCAAACAUGAUUGUGGAGUAGUGUUGUUUUUGUCUUGAUCACUGAGGUGACGGAGUGGUUUUGUUCUGUGAAAUGUUCAUGUUCAACAAGAGGAUAUUGGGCCUGGCUGAUGGUGACAGGCCAGCUCCUCAAUGUCAGGAGGUAAUUUUUUUUUUCAUUCUGAUUUUUAAAUUAUUAUUAUUUUUUACUCUACUAAUUUAAGGCUACUAAUUUAUUUGUUAAACCAUAUUGCUUAUAUUCCACACAUUUUGAUAUGUAGUUUAUUCAUUAACCCUUCUAAAUGUUUUCUGACUUCCAGUGAAACUCAUGGUUGAGUUAUUCUUAAAUUUAUAUAGCACUAUUUAUCUCUUGUUAUUACUUUUUAUCUUCAGUAUGUUGGAACUUUGUUUAGUAUUAGUUUGAGAUGUAAAUUUUCAUUUUGAUAUUACCAAACAUUUUGUGGCCUGAUGUUUUUAAUAUACAUACUGUAAAUAGAAGAUAGCUGGAUUUUACUGACAUUCUAACAAUCGUUGUCUUUUAUCUGGAGUGUUUAUAUCUAUGUGAUUAUUGAUAUGCAUGGAUUUAUUUAUAAUUAGCAUGUACUUUCUGUCUAUACCUCUUUUAACUAUUAAUAUAUUCCUUUUCAACUUACUUCUGUUUUGAAUUAUUUUGAGAUGAUUAAUGUCUCCCUUCCUUUUACUAAAAGCAAUGCAUCCUAUUUCUAUUAUUUCAGGGCUUAUUAAAGAAAAAUGAAAAGUGAUUAUUACUCUUUUAUACAACCAGUAUUUGUAUAUUUAUUCAUAUGUUUAUGUUUUUCUUUCUGUACCAUCAUACUGCUCAAGCCUUUAUUCUGUGCUCAUUUUUUUUCUGCCUUAAGUGCAUCUUUAAUAUUUUCUCAAUUUUUGUUUGCCUGAAAUGUCUUUUUAUGACAUUCAAUCUUGCAACGUAAGUUGGCUGAACAUACAGUCCUAGGUUUACAGAAUUUUGAAUAUAUUAUUCUACUUACCUCUUUUUACUAGUUGUUUUCUCAAUGAAAUAGGAAGCAGAAUCAAUAGAUGAGAAAAAAGAUGGGGAAAGAAGUCUUGGAGGCUGGAUAAGAGAAAAGGAGGUAUAAAAAUAGUCAUCUAGAAGAGUGAAAGAGUAAAGGGUAUGGAGAGGGGAAAUUUUGUACUGUUGCUAGACAGCUCUAAUGGCCUUCUUGAAAGUAAUGGCUGUUCACUUUCUGUAAGAAACCUGCUUUACCCCAGCUCUGUUCAGCUGCACACAUGCAAGUGUAGAAAAAAAUGGAAAGCUAGAUUAGCCAGAUUGUGUUUUCCCCAGGAGUGAGUGAGAUGACAGAAGAAAAAAAAAAAAAUAAGAGAUAAGGUUGCAUGCAAGGGACUGAUUAUAGAGGGUAAAGUGGCUAUAAGAAUAUGAGGCUUAGGAAACAAUGUAAAAGGGAUUUUAAAUCGUGGCAUCCAAGAUUGUUGGAAUUGAGGUACUAGCUGGUAAGAUAAACUAAAUAAACUAGUUUUUGUCAUUUUCAAAAUUGCCUCAUGAGCAAAGAAGGCUAGUAGAGCUGAAAUCAUCGUUGCUGCAUUCCAGGAAGCUAGAAGGAAGGAGAGAAGAGCAACAUCCCAGAUGAUGUUAUCUUCUGAAAAGAGCCUUUUAAUCAACAACUUCCGCUUUAUUGAGGUAUAAUUUUGUAGAAAAGAAGAAUUUCUGGAAUUACUUGAGAUGUUAAAAACAUCAAAGCAGAGACCUCCACAGAUUCAGAUUUCCAUGACCUGGGGGGAGGGUAAAAUGGGUAACCAGCAUCUGCAUUUUUUAAAUGCUCACCCUCCAGGGGAUUCCACUGUGUAGUGGAGGGAAAUCCACUGCAUUAGGCAGAUAAUAGUACAAUCAAUUACAGUUGUUUCUUGUUUUCUGCAGUAAUUAUGUCAUAUAACAUUGUUGCAAACACUGAAUUAGUGAACAGUACCCUAUUGCUCCUGGAGAAAUACAGGGUUAGGGUCCUGGAAGCCUUUGGUCACUAAAUUUUUAUCAGUCAAUAACCUUGGUUCAUGAGUGUUUCUGUUUAAAGACACCUUAUAUAAUAAAUAUUGUUGAUUGGUUUUUGACAUUGAACUCACAGCCAACAGCACUGUAACUCAUACCUGAAUGAAGCUUAUGUAACACUUGUAUUUUCUUUGUAAGGCAUAUCAUAGCCUUCUUUAGUCUAGGAACAAUAUUAGACAGCCCUGCAACACUACACUUUGGGGCCAAUUUAAACAGCAAACUCACCAACAAAAAUCACACAAAAAAGUCUGAAAAACACGGCGUUAAAUAAGCCCUUAAAAAUGUACUUGUUUAUAGCAUGAAAGUGGAAACAAACAGGCAAAGCACUACCUUGUUCAACCUCACUUGGGAAUGUGCUCUCUCUCCAGGUAACUUAAAUUUUUUGCCACUCUGCAUAUAUCUGCAAAUGACCAUUGACAGUGAUUAUUGAUUUUUGAGGUAACAUACAUUUUAGCAAGAAGACAAACUUACAAAUGCAAAUCUGCACAUAAUGAGGAUCAACUGUUUCUGAAGUUCUUUCCUUUCCAUAUGUAGCUCUGGCUUUUCAGAGAUCUCUGCUUGAACAACAGCUCCCGCAAGAGCUCCCACAGGUCCAUUUCUGUGCACUUGUGCUCUCUCUGUCCCACUUUAACAAGAAUUGUUCUUUUUCAACCAUUUGCAAAAAAUUUUGUUUUAAUCUUACCCUUUCGCUCAUUUUCAGCAUUUUUUAAAGUAAUAUUCUUUGCUCUCAUUAUAGUACAGUAUUGUGGAAGGAGAAAAAUUAGAAAAGUCCUUUUUUUGUAUUAAAAAAUAGGUAUGUUUUGAAGAAUGUCUUUAAAAAUACAGAGAAAUAUGAGGGGCACCACCAAAGCCCUCUCUGAGAAAUAUCUACUAGCAUUUUUCUUAAUCUUCUUUCGCUUUUAGGUUUAGAAAGGUACAUUAAUAGAUAAAGUGAUAUGAAUUGAGAUUAAAAGUAUAAUCUACUUUUCAAUAAUAAGGUAAAUGUAGAUCCAGUAACGUUAAUUGUCACACAACUGUUGAGCUGAUUGCUAAUUUAUUUGGAUAUAUUUCAAGUUUUUUCUUAAUAGCUUUCUAAAGUACCUUAUAGUAUCUCCAAUUCAAUAACUAAUGGGUGAAACAUACACAUUAAGAACUAAUCUUAUUUUUCUUACAUACCCUAAAAUAUAUUUCAAGUGGAUUUAUGGCAUAAAUGUGAUCACAGACAUUUCAGAUUACUAUGAGGAAAUAAUUGCUUGUAUAAUAUUGAGGGUAAAAGAGGUAGGACUAACUAAUCAUUAGACCAAAGCCAGGAACCACGUAAGAAAAUACUGAAAUGUUUACAUACAUAUUUUUAUAUCUUCUAUAUAUCCAAAAAACAAAAAUAGUAAUAAUAACGGCAUUAAAAAAGAGCACCAAAUUAGAAAACAAGAUUGUACUACAAACUGGUAAAGAUUUAAUACUUUUAAUGUGGAAAAGGGUUUAUAAAUCUUUAAGUAAAAAAGAAAAUUUUCAACCUUAAAAGAGAGAAAUCAAAGUGAUAAAGUAUGUUUAAAACAAUCUGUUUUACCAGUUCAGGUAUGCGUGCUGUUACUUAUCUUCCAUUUUAUAAUUAUUUCUACUUAAGGUCUUCCUCAUGCUACUAAAUAAAUGGGGGAGAAAGACACACAGAAGAAAAAAAAGUCUAAAAUUUCUUGGAAUUUAAUCAAAAGUUUUCAGGACUAAUUCCGAACACAAAAUGAAAAACAACCUAAAAUCCCAUGUGGCCAAAACUUGCACUGCUUCUCACUGGUAUAAAGUAUCACUAUAGAGAACUGGUUCUGCUUACCUAAACAAAUGACAAUUGUGUGUGAGGGCCAAAAUUGCAUGCUUAUACCAUUUUGUGGAGUUGACAUUGGUGGCUCAUGCCAAAAGGCCAGUUCAUUUUAGUUCAUCUCUUUGCUUAGUUUGUUGUUUUUUAAAAGGACAACCUACUGGAUCACUGUUACUAGAUCUAGAAGAGCUGCCUACACUAGGUAUAUAUUACACAGAAAUCAGCCAUCAUCCCAUACCCCUAACCCCUUAAAAACCAUUAGGAACUUCUAUUGAACUUAAAUUACCAUCCUAAAAUUUCCUUUCAAGAUAAUUUUAUUUCGGUGUUUUCUUGUUCUUUCCUACACACUGAAUUGCUUUGGCAUCAUGCUUUCCAACUUUCAAGGCCUCUCUACAUUCAACUUUUAACAAAAUGGUGGGGGAGAUUGAUUAAAAGUCACUUCAGUUUCAAAAAUGUCCUGGUCUCCUUCAGUGAUCAGUGGUCAUCACAGUGACCAGCUUGGCAUCUCAAGCCAUAGGUGAAGGAUUCAUUUUUCUCAACCCUCAAAACAUUUCUUGUCUCCAACCAAGAGGCACCAACUUACGUUAAAACUAAGGUUACAUUAAAGCUGUGUUUCUUUUGUUUGUUUCUUGCUUUAGACAGUAGGGGAGAAGUAACAUGGCCAGAGAAUAGCUAGACCUAGCCCCUGGCGAAACUAAAAGUCAAAAAUAAACACUUAACACCAAACUUAGAAAAAGCACGGUCGUUUGUUUCUAUGUUUGUUUUUAAGGUAUUAUGAAUGAAAAAGUGUAGUAUAUCAAAAUGUAGGUUAUCAGCUAUUGUCAUUCUUGAUUUCAUAUUCUCUGUUUUGGAUAGAAUUACUCUACUCUCCUAGCUUUCCAUUUAGGAUGAUGACAAUGACCAUGAAAAUGAUGGGAGUGAGUACUCUUCAAGUACACCCUGUUUGCUUCUGAGUGUUCUGUUUCAGAUGCUUUUAAGAAGGGCACGUUGUGACAGACCUACACAUGGCUAGCGCAACCGUUCUUAGCCUCUUACAUUCUCUGUUUUCUUCAGGAGCUAAAGCAGGCCCACAUGUCUAGUUCCUUGAAUAGUUCACCAGAAGAGGGACAUUCUUUCUCAUUGUGAUAUUUACUUUAAAUCUGGCUCAGUAGAAGUGAUGAUGUUUAGGGUUUGGAUUUCAAAACCCUAAGAAAGUUUCCUUAACUUUCCAAUAGAUUUGCCUGAGGUCAUAUAGUGAGGAACCAAGAAAAACUCCAAAGGUAGUUAUUUCACAAGGCAUUCAUUGUUUUCUUCAUUUUACACUUCCAUUUACCUCUAAAUUAAAGAAAGGUAAAAGAGAGGAAGAAUAAAAUGGAUGCAUUCUCAUUCAGCUUCUGGGUUGUUAGUAAAUUGGCCUCAUUUGAAAAUCCAAGUGCUUUACAGUCAGAAAUAGAUAUAGUAUUAGGAAAUCAUUAGUAUGUAGCUGAUGGGUUAAACCAGUACUGGAAUGCUGUCACUCAAGAAUAGGUAGCAUGGAACAAAUUAUAAAUAAGGUAUAAAUUCUGGGAAUACUAAUGUUUAAGGGAAAGUCAGAAGUUUAAAAAGGUGACUGAGGAGAAGCAAUGCUUUAAUUGCAUCCUGUAAGUUUUGAUAUAUGAUAUUUUCACUGUUCAGAUUAUUUUCUAUUUUUUAUUAUUAUUUUUAUGCAUGCUUUAAAUUUAUCACUUUUAAUUUCCAAAUACAUAGGGAUUAGUAGUUAUGUUUAUUUGAUAGCACUGUUAUAAAAUAUUGUGUGUUAUUUUAAUACUUGGAGAUUUUUUGAAACUCACUUUAUGGUUCUGCAUAUGAUCAAUAAUUGGAAAUGAUUUAUGUGUCCUUGAAAACAAAGUGCAUUCUGAAAUGUUUGGGCAUAGUGUUUUCUAUAUGUCCAUUAAUAAGUCACAUUGUUUAAAUUGUGUAAGUCAUCAACAACACAUGUGUGGGUGUACACACACACACUUUAACUCUGAGAGAUGCUUUAAAAUCUACUAAGAUGGCUUUGUUUCCUAGUUUUAUCAAUUUUUGUUCUAUGUAUAUUUCUGCUAUUAAAUUUACUUCUCUCAUUCAUAUAGGCUAAAUACCUGUAAGUAGAAUGUCAGGGUUGUGUGUUAUAUGUGUGUUGGAUUUUUAACAUUCAUUUUUAUUAAUUUUAACCUAAAAGCGCACAUGACGGUGUUGUUAAUUCGAGGUAGAUCUUAUCAUAUAUGUCACUGUAAGUAAUAAGUGUGCUCCUCCCUUUGCCUUAGUCCUUACCCUUCGAACAAUGUGGUAAGAAGUAGGCCAAUUGUCCUAUACAAAUAGCUGGACAGUUCAAUAGCUAGGAAUAAAGAAAAAAAAUAAUUUUUCUCUGCUUAUAAAGGGGGAAGAGGCAGCUGUAUCCCACCCCUCCUGAAAGGGACUCCUUACUCCAGCCUUGCAGCAUGAAUGUAUAUGAAGUCUCUCUCACAGCCAGCUAGCCCCUUGUGACCCAGUUUUUAUGGAGAUGUGUCCAAGUUCCUGGAGCUGAUUCGCCUUUGAUAUGUAAAUACCUAGGAAAGUAGCUGCUAUUAUAUUUUCUUGUACCUUGGAGUCUUAACCCAGAACCUAAUACAACUGUAACCAUUUUACAUAGAAGGUUGACUAUCUCAUUGGUCAGAACAAUUAAGAAGACACAUGGCUACAGAUCUAAUUGAGAUCUCUAAUGGUUUGUGAAAAUAUUUCUAGGAGGCGAGCGGUUUUCACAGAAACAGUGAAAAAUCUAGGCAAGUUUUAUUUCCAUCUAUGUAUGUUUAACUUCUUAAGAAACUGAAAAGCAGUUUUCAAAAGUUUUUAUACCAUUUUACAUUUCAACCAGCAGAGUAUGAGAGUUCUAGUUUCUCCAAAUCCUUCCUGGUAAUUGAUGGCAAUCAUGCUUUGCGAAUACAGGAAUUUUCACAUUAAAUUUUUUUUUAAGUACUGACUUGGCUUUACCUCACAAAUUUUUAUAUAUCUCAUUUUUAUUUCAUUCAAUUGAAUAUGUAUUUGUAUCUACCUUAUGAUAUAUUAUUCAACCAUAGGAUAUGUACAACUGUAUGUUGUUUUAAAACAUUUAGAGUUUUCUCUUCUAUCCUUCUAUUAAUUUUUUAGUUUAUCGUGGUUAAGAAGAUGCUUUGUGUGAUUUCAAUUACUGAGCAUUCUUUGAUGCCCAGAAUAUGGUCUAUAAAUGUACCAUACCAUGAUAAAUGUACACAAGCACUUAGAAAGAAUGAAUAUACUGAUAUAUUUAUGUGUAGCGCUUUAUAAUUUUCAUUUAGGCCAAGCCAGGUGACAAUGUGUGUAUCAUUAUUAAUUUUCCUUCAACUGGGAGAUUUUCUUUAAAAUUUCUGUAGUACAGGUCUGCUGACAAAACAUUAUUUCCCUCUCACACAAAUAGACGCACUCUCUAGGAAGCAUUUAGAAUGCAUAUACUGAUAUUUUUAUGUGUAGCACUUUAUAAUUUUCGAUUAGGUCAAGCUAGCUGACAAUGUGUAUAUCAUUAUUAAUUUUCCUUCAACUAGAAGAUUUUCUUUAAAAUUUCUGUAGUACAGCUCUCCUGACAAGACAUUAUUUCCCUCUCACACUAAUAGACACACUCUCUUAUUGGAAAAUAUUUUCAUUUUGCUUUAAAUUUCUGAAAGAUAUUUUCACUGGCAAUGGAAAUCUUAGGUUGAAAAUAUUCUAAACUUUUGAAAUAUUACACUGUCUUCUGGUUUUUAUUGUUUUUGAUGAAAGUCAGCAGACAUUAAUAUUAUUGCUCCCAUGUACAUCAAGUGUUCUUUUUCUAUUUCUACUUUGAAGACUUUCCCUUAAGGUUUGAAUCAACGGUUUGAUUAUGAUGUGUCUAGGUGUGAUUUUCUUUGUAUUUAUUCUGCUGUUGUUAGAACCCCCAAAUUUGGGUUUGAAUAUCCAGUGUGGAGCAAGCCAAACAAUAAUACAUCAGUGGAUAGGAGCAGAGAAAGGUUUAUUUGAUUUGGCCAAAGCGUGAGAGUGGGAGAGGCAAACUCUGAAGUCUGACCUGCUUUUGAACAUGACUGGGUGAUUUUAUGAAUAAGGAAGGUGUGUGUGAGGUGAGAACCUUCCGUGAUCAAAGCUGUUUGCCUCCCUCCUCAGAUAGAACUUCUAGAUGCCAUCAAAGCUCUGUAUGACCUAAGGAUUAUUGUUCUUUAAAAGAAAAACAAGUUUAUUAACCUUUCAGGCAACCCCUGGGUGGUUAGAAUAUGAAGUUAAUCAAUUAUUAGUGACUACUGUCUACUGAAAUAACUAUGGGCAAGCAAUCAUGCAUGGAGGAAGAAAAGGACAAAGAAAAGUUAACCACCUUGUGAUUUUUAUAAUAUAGGAUCAGUUACACUAAGAUUGAUGAUCUUCUUACAUUUGUAAACUUUAUGCCUUUCAUCAACUUGGGAAAAUUUUUGUCCAUUAAUUCUUCAAAUAUAUUUCUGCUCCAUAUUUUCCCUCCUUUUCUUCUAGAAUGGUAUUUAUAUGAUGUUUAACCUUUUGUUUUAGAAGGUUAACAUGGCUAAACACAAACUGCAAACUGAGUCCCCUAUUGUUGACAGCAGUUGAGAUAUGUUUUCAGAUCUUUUAGCUUUAUAAGCAGUGCUUGGAAUCUGCUGCAUGCAAGUGUAGUUCCUGGAUGUGCCAGAGAUUGACUUAGGGUUUAUGUGCAGAAUUUGGUUUUCUUUUUUCUAUGCUUUCCCCCCUUUUUAAAUUUUGUAACUUCAGUGGUAGUCCUGACAUCUGUCUUCUCAUUCUUUAAAAGAGUAAGAUUCCAGGUUCCUAACUAUUUUAGCUGCUCCAUGUUAAGCCAACUUGCUGAGAAGCCCACAAAAGUUUUAAAAGAUAAAAUAUUUCUUAAGUCGGAUGAUGAGGAAACACUCUCUGUGUGUUGAUUUUCCAUUUUUUUGUAUGUAUUUAUUAAUGUGUAUAUCUUUAUACAAAGGAAUUUUCAAUUUAUUAGACAAUAGUAGAUAACAGACAAUCUACAAGAAGAAAGAACUUUUGUCAUCAACUAGUCUGGGUAUGCAGAAAAUUAUACCUAGAUAACAUAAGUGACCUUUCUUAUUGGCACAUUGUUAAUGACAAAAUUAGUAUGGGAAAACCUCCUGAAAGUUACUGCAAAGCUUACUAUUGGACAAAAAGACAUGAAUAUCUUAAAUGAUCUUGGAUUUAUUUUAUAUUACAUUGUUUUAUUUUAGACAAUAAUUUUAUGUUUAAAGUUUAGAUAUUUCUUGAACAUAAGAGCUUAGUACUACAAAAUGAUAGGCAUUCAUUAUGAAUUGGAAUAUUGGAAAUCUACAAUUUAUAGUCAGACAUAGAAAAAGAAGGUGACUAUUCUGUCAAAAUUUAUUCUCACUAGCAACAAACUCGAAAAAAUUUUUCUUUAUAAUUAUUUCUCAAGUUUCUUGAAACAACAGGGUUGUCUUACUGGCAGUGCCCCCUGGAUAUUAUUCAUUAGUUUUUCAUUUGACUGCACUCCUGUGAUACUUCAAUAACCUUGAAAUAAAACUCAGAUCCCAAGAUACACUUCUUACUAACCUCUUCCAAACAGAGAAAACCUGCAGAUAAAAGAAAAUAAAAACUCCCAAAGACACUUUGGAAGGUUUUUGAUAUGCUAAUGUAACUAUUUACAGCUUUUAGAGACCAUUCAGCAUAGAGACUCAUACCCAUUCAAACAGACUCCAGUUAAACAAGCAUCCUUGAAAUUACUGUCACUAUCAGUAAAGAACUGGGACACUUAAUGUAAAAGAGGAGGAUGGAUCCCAGUUCUCAUCAUUAACUUUGCCCUUGUUUUCAUCUUUCAUAGAAAUAUAAAAGUAAUCCUCAAACUGAAUAACAGAGGCUUCAUGAUGUGUGCAUUUGCUCCUCAGCAUAGGUCAUUAUUGAUCAAAUCAUAUUUUGUUUGAAUUGUACAUAUAGAUAAAGCUUGGUUACUUGAUAUUGGUGAUUUUGAUAUCCCUUAUGGUCAUUGAAACAAUCACUUUUAUAAGGCAUGGUAGUUAUGCAGUUUACUUUUCAGAUAGCGAUACAAGAGACUAUUAAAACCAGAGUGACCUUUUGCAAUAAGUGGCAAAAAUAUUCGUUUUUUCUUAAUGAAAUAAAUUGAUUUUAUACUAAAAGUUAAGAAUUUUUGGAAAAAUGAAUAUUUGAGAAAGCUAACUUUCUAACUUUUCUAGUUAGAAUUAGAACUUUCUAAUUUCUAACUUUUCUAGUUAGAAUUGUCUAAUUACUUUGGAAACUUGUCCUCGACAUGAGUAUAGGAUAAGGCUUUCUAAUUUUGACAAAAUUUACAUGCUUGGGUUCACUCCUGGUAAGGGACAAGUUAGCUUCCAUUAGAUCAACUUCCCACAGAUAGUAGCUAUAAACUCUAGAGAAAAUACAAAAAUGAACAACUACUGGAAGUCACUGGGGAAUGAUCAAAAGUUAGCAGAAACUGGCAAGUAAACCACCAGUGGUAAAAGGGAAUGGCGGGAGUGAUUUUCUCAUUUUCAUCACUUCUAGCCUGAGGCCAGCCCUUGUCUGCACCACACAUGGAAGCAAAAAUAAUACAUAAAAAUUAAAAAAAAAAAUCUUCACUGGGAAGUGAAAGAGGAAACAGGAAAAGGAGAGUACCAGGGAUUAGAGGCACAAAUUAUCUGCAUUUACUCUGCCUGUCAGGCUGACCACAAAUGCUGAAGACACAGUCUUAGUAGGCAACAUAAGAAUAGAAUAACUGAACUAAGAUUUGGCCUGCUACUUAAGACCAUAAUUGCAAUUUGAGAAAAACCCAAUAAAAGAAAAUCUGGACACAUUUGACUGCAUAAAACUUUAAGAAGAGAGUAAUUGAAUAGGCAAAAAACACCAAAACAAAGUCAAGAGACAAACGGAAAAUAGAAGAAUAUAUACCACUGUAUAACUGAUAAAGGACUGAUACCUUAAUAAUAGGAAACUCAUGAGACAAAAAGUCACAUAAGGCUCAUGACAAUGAAUUAAAAAAACAAAGACAAUCUACCAAAAACAUAUGUAAAACCUCUUUGAGCAUAUGGAAAGACGUUUAGCCUCUCUGGUAAUCAAAAGAUGCACAUAAAAACCAUCAUAUUAUUAGAAUGGCAAAAAUUAAGAUGCAUAAUAAUACACUCUGCUAACAAGAGUAUAUAAUAUACUCUGCUUGCAAGAGUAUGUAGAAACAAUAACUUUCUUACAUAUUUAGUAGGAAUGCAAACUGGUAAAAUCCUUAAUGAGGGAAUUUGGAAAUAUCUCAAAAACAAACAACAAAAAAAAAACACACACACAAAAACUAGAUAUAUGUUAACCUUUUCAUCUACAGUCCAAAUUCUAGGAAUUUACUCUGAAGAUCCAGCUCAUUCAGUACAACAGUAUAUAUAUAUUUUACAAACAUUUCAUACAUUGAUGUUUUAUUUAAUAUCAGAUAUUUCAUAAAUAUUUCAUUUUCUAUAUUAUUUAAAAAUAAAAUCGAACAAACAAAUACCUAUGCAUAAAUUUGAGGAUAGACUUAAGUGAAGGACAAUAGCCCUCAAAAAUAAACUUCUAGUUGUGAUUCUGUCUUAUCUUUAUAACAUGACUAGCAUUUUUUUUUCAGCAGAAUGAUCACACAAUGAAUUAUUUCCUAUUGAAAAAUUUCCUUUUCCUAAAACUUCAUUUGAACACCAUUGUUUCUACAUACUUCUCUUUGUUUUCAUGCAACUCUUCUUUAGAGGCGAUGUGGACUUUAGAUCUCUGGGAAAGGGCAUACCGGAGGAUUUUACUGGCCUUUGUGACAGAUGAGUGUUGUCAGAAUAUUUGGUGGCUGUGUGUCAGGGGCUUGGGCCUCUCUGUUAUGCAAUUGUGUCACUCUGAGGCUCUCUACUUGAGGGAAUGUUUGUUUCCAUUUUUAAUCAACCUGGAACAAGGCGAAUCCUGCCUCUCAAAGGGUUGUAGAAAAUACUUCCUAGGUCUGUUGGGCCACGGAGUGCCUCUGAAGAUGUCUGCACAUUCCUUAAGCAGCUGGCCCUGAGGGAAGUCUCAGCUUUAAGACACUGAGGCUGGUUUCCCUUUCUUUUCCCACAAACCUUCAGUAUAAUCUUGUUAAAGUUCUGUCCAGGGUACCGUUGUGCUUUGAGGAAUGAAGGGGGACCUGCCCGUGUUCCAAAGGUGGAGUAGUCAUGUGCUCUGCCUGAAGAUGAAGCAGGGGCGUCUCAGUGGUCAGCAUGCGACAGACAGUGUCCCUAGUACAGCGGCAAUCCCUAAAGUGGUCAGCAGCGGAUGCAGCACUGAGGCAGUCAGGUGAAGAUGCAGGCUAGGAAGGGGGUGAGGGAUAAGUAAGGAGAACAUGUGAAACCACUGUCAGGAAUUUGAGGAAUUUACUGGGACUAAUGUAGGGCACUUUGACCGCCAUAUCCAAAUUAAGCCAAUAAUAUGGCUAUUAAAAUGGAGUGCAAUAUUACUGUCAUUUUCGUUUUAGAAAUGUGGAAAUGGAGGCAUCAGGCACAUUACUUGGAGUUGCCUACUACAUACUCCAAAUUUCUUUAAAACCUCAUUGUAAGAUGAAGUAAAUGUCAUACACUAUUCCCUAAUAUAGACAGGUGCAUUUUAAUAGUAAGCUAUUAUGAUUAAUAUGAACAUGGUCAUGAAACAAUUUCUCCUCAGACAUUUUUAGUUAAACUUGAGAAGCUGAAAAAUGAAGGCUGCUUCUUGUGUGGCUUUCUAUGCUGCCUGCUUCGCUUUCAAACAUAGACUCAAACUGCUGCCUACCUACUUGGAAAGUGUUUAGUGUAGUUUUGUUUUGUUUCUUCAAAGAAAAGGGAAGGCAAAAGGAAAAGAGAAAAGGGAAAGAAAUCCAGAGAAAAGAAUGGGGGGAACUUAGCUUCUCAGGGGUAAAGACAGACAGACUUCAAUCCCAACAUCAGGGAGAGCAGGGGAAACCAACUUGGCCCAGAGCUGUCACUCUCACUCUCCUCUUGCUUGAACAGCUGCCAAUACCCAGAGUCAGCCUGUCCUGUUGCCCACUGAGCUUCAUGCUUGCAGAGAAAUACUCACAUCUGUGCCAAAAACCUUUUGCCCAGCUCUGACACUUCCGUUUUGAAUCCCAUGGCUCUUCUUGAUUGUACCACUGAAGGUCCAGGACACAAAAAGCCCUCAGGUCAUUUGAUUUAGGAUUUGAACAAUGGAGAGAUGAUCAUGAUCAGAAGAAAAAUUCUUUAUACUUGACAAAGGCAGAAAUAAAAAUCCAGUUUGAAAUUGACUUUUGAGCCUGGAGAAUGGGAAACUUCACCCAUGUUAACUUGUCUUUUGUAAACAAAGUGUCUUUCUGUGUUACAAUUUUCAAGAGCCUAAUUCUGCUAAUCAUAAUGUAUUUAUUUGCACAUGCAAUUAAAAUUUCCAAAUUUUUCUUUUUAAGGAACUACUCCAAAAACCUUUCCUUUUCUUUGAAAGUAUACCACUGAGUUUUGUAAAGUACCAGACUUUUGCUUGAGUUUCGUAAAAUGUUGUCUGAGCUUCUACACAGCAUGACAGAUGGUCAAAACCACUUUUUCCCUGGAUUUUGUGUCUAUUGAGUUAGUUGUCACUCCUAGCUUACUGCCAUCUACAAAUCUUAAAAACAUGCCCUUUAUCUCUCUUCCUCCUGGUUAUUAAUUAAAAUUUUAACAAGACAGGGCUAAGAGCCAACCCACUGUAGGGGCUUUAUUAAAGACUACUGUACUUUGCAGUUUGAUGUUUACUAACAUUCUUUGGGCACCUGGCUACAACGUAACUCAAUUUUCUGUGAAAAACUAUUAAUCAUCCUAUUUUUUCCUUGUCUUUAAUAUGAGAUAAAUUUUAUAGCACUGUUUCUCAAACCAUCUGUUGUGAGGGACAGUUUUGCUUUUUAAUUUCCAAUUGUCAGAGACCUAUGCUUUUGUCAAAUACAAUUAAAAACAAACAUAAAAAUAAAAUUAUUAGAAAAAUGAAAUAAAAGAGAAAUGAAAUAAGAAUAAUUUUAUUAUUAGAUUUAACAGAUCAAAUAUUGUUUCAAUACUCAGAUCAAAUGUGCAAUAAGACAGGGUUGCAAAAAAUGCACACUUUUUUAUUAAAAUCAUUUAUGUAGGUAAUUUAUAUAAAAAUAAUAUUACAGUUGCAACUUUCUGUUGUUUCUCAACUAUGACCAAACAGAGGUUACAAGUGAAGUAGCAAUCCCAAUACUAAACUGCUAUAUGUGCAUUUUGAAUCAAUAAUGUGUAUGUCAAUGAAGUUUUUAAUGUGAUAAAUUUGCAUUUUGGUUGUUAAUUUAUAUAAUCUAGGUUGGAUAAAUGACAAUGCCAAUCAUAGGGGAUAAUGUUGAUCCUAAAUGUUAGUGUGUUGAUUUCAUAACACUCAAUGGAGAAGCCAGUCUCAGAGAGGCAGGGUGCUAGACUGGAAGAAAAUAAUUUGAAAUAAUUACAGUAAGCUGAUGGAAUUCAUUUUUAUCUGUUUUUAUAAAGCAAGUGAUUUUGGAUUUUUAAAAUUUAUCUUCAGUUCUUCAUCAAUAGCUACUUUUAAUCAUUAACCUUAUAAAUUUAAUUAUAUUUCAAUUAUAUUUUAAUAGAAAGAAUGGAUUUCAUGUUUUUUUCUGGUGUGGAUUUUGAUAAGAAAAUAAAAUUCAAAAUAUUCUGUUAAAUUUGGAGGUGUCUGGUGAUAAUUUUUCACAGAUGUAUAAUAUCAAGAUCCAUUGAAGUGUGUGUGUGUGUGUGUGUGUCUGUCUGUCUGUCUUCCAGGCAUGAAAGUAUGAAAAUAAUUUACUAAAGACAUUAGACUUGCUGUUUAUUUUAUGUAUUUUUAAGUUAGGAUCAAAUCAGUUUCUUAUAUUACAGAAAUUUCUUGCAGAAUGGUUCAUUCAGUAAUUCAAACAUUGUCAAUAAAACUUAUUUUAAAACUAGAAUAUAUACUGCAUUUCAGCAUGCCAUAAGAGUUGUUUAUGAUGAACUUCCAUAUUAAAACAUAAUGAGAAUAAUAUAGGAAGAAUAGUAAAUAUUAGUUUUUAUGUAGUAUCAAAGUUUUAUAAUGUCACCAAAUAAACUGUUUAGUUCAACUGAUUUUAUUUUUUCAUUCAUAGCAAGUGUUUCCGAUGAGUGAAGCAGUCUGGUGAUUAACAAUCUGAUAUGAUACAAACUUCUUUAUCUGUGUAACAUUUCCAGAAUGUUUUCUUGUCGUUAAAAUCAUGCCAUCAGAACACAUUCCUAAAAAAUUUAAAAUUCAAAACACAAAUACAGACUUUGUGAUGAAAACACAAGCUUUCAUAGUUUUAUACAAUUUAGAACUAGUUGAGUUUUUGACAAUAAUGAAGCUGUAGACACAAAUUAUUUCUUUAUAACACCAUCAUUUUCAUAUAACAACAUGUAAGCAAAUACUGGCAUUAUUAGCAAUAACUAAUAACUAAUACCUAAUACAAAAACUAUGCAUUUGUGAAGUUCCAAGAAAAAAUACUUAGCUAAAUUUAUGUGUACUAUGAGCUGGUCUUUAGUAUUAUUUUCAUUUCCUGAGUAGAGUGAGCUCUGAUGUCUUUUACAGCUCACUAAUAUUCCAUGGUAUGGAAGAACCUCAUUUUACUGGUUGUAGGACAUUUGGAUUGUUUUUGGGUUUAGUGAUUGUGAAUAGAAAAGAUAUAAACCUUCAUCCACAGAACUUUCUGUGAAUAAGAAAGUUCAUUUUUCUUGUGUAAAUACCUGGGACUGAGAUUUCUUGAUCAUAUGAUAAAUAUAUGUUUAAUAAUUGUGAAAAUAUUUUUCAAAGGAAAUGUACAGUUUUGUUUUCCCGCUACCAGUGUAUGAGCAUCUCAGUUGCUCUGUAUCCUUGUCGACACUUAGUAUUGCCAGCUUUAUUUUUAAUUUUAGUAUUGCUAUUCUAAUACCUGUAUAAUGGAAUCGUAUUGAGGAUUGUAUUUGCAUUUCUCUAAUAACUAAUGAUCUCGAGCAUAGAUUCAUGUGUGAUUUGCCAUUUAUGUAUCUUCUUUGGCAGAUGUUGUUUGAAAUAUUUUGCUGUUGUUUAUUUAGUUGAUUUCUUAAAGUUUUGAUAGUUCUUUAAAUAUUAUAGUUAUAAUUCUGUGUUCAAAUGUGUGUUUUGAAAAUGUUGUGUUCCACACUAUGGCUUUACUUUCCAUUCUCUUAUGUCUUUAAAAGAGUAGAGGUUCUCAGUUUAGAUAAUAUAUAAUUUCUCUAUUUGUUUUUCUUUUUAAGGUUUUACAUUUAGGUAUAUGUUCUAUUUUGUGUUAAGUUUUGUACAUGCUACGAGGUUUGGAUUGAGGUAUAGGUGUAUAUGUAUAUAUAUAUGUUAUAUAUAUGGGUUUGUGUGUGUGUGUGUGUGUCUCAUAUUCCAAUACUGUGUGUUGGGGAUUAUUUUUUCUUCAUUGAAUUAACUUUGCACUUUGUCAAAAAUGAUUCACCAUAAGCAUAUGGGCUUAUUUCUGCACUGUCUAUUCUGUUAUACUGAUUUAUAUUUCUGCUUUCAUUGAUGUAACACUGUCUUGAUUAUUGUAGCUUUAGAGUUAAUAUUAAAAUUAUAUCGUUUUAAUCCUUCAAAUUUUUACUUUUUCGAAAUUGUUUUAGUUUUGUUGCCUUUCCAAAUGAAUUUUAAAUUUCACGUGAAUUUCUCCAAAAAAGUCCUGUUGUGAUUUAGUUAAAAUUGCAUCCUAUUUUCAGAUCAAUUUAGGGAGAAAUGACAUAAUAACAUUCCACUAUAAAUGGAAAUAACUCCAUUUAUUUAGGUGUUCUCUGAUAUCUUUCAUUAGUGUUUUAUAAUUUUCAGCAUUCUGACCCUGUACAUAUUUUUAGAUUUACAAUUAAUAACUUAAUGAUUUUUGAUAUUGUAAAUGGUACUUUUAAUAUAAAUUUUUAAUCAGCUUUGCUGUUAUGUAAAAAUGGAGUUGAAUAUUUGUAGUAGCUUUGUGUCAUGUGAUUUUGCUAAACUCAAUUAUUAGUUAUAAUACCUUUUUGUGGAUUUUGUGGAAAUUUCUACGUAACUAAUUAUGUCAUCUAAUAGUGAAGUGUACUUCUUUCCUUCCAAAUAUUAUAAAUUUUAUUUCCUCCAUUAUCAUAUCUGUACUAUAGAUAGGUUUCAAACGAGUUUUCUUAAGAUGUAUUUUUCUCAUAAAGUCUUUAUUUCUCUUUUGUUCUUGAGAUUUUUUCUGGGCAUACUAUUUUCAAGACACGAUGAGAUGCAUUGAAUAAAGAAAGGUGAAUGUUCUAUUGUUCUAGUUGAAAUAUUUCAAUUGAGGAUAAUUCAAGAAAUGAAAUUUAUAUGCUAUGAUAAUACAGUAUAACAUAAUAUAGUAUCUCAUAAAGCCAAUGUGAACAAAAGCUAUGGGACCACAAUGGAGAGAUGGAUUUAAAUGGCUAAUCUGAGAUUUCUUAAAAGAAAAAUCAUUUAUUUGGAACUAGAUAAAAAAAGAAUAAGUUAUUGUCUAGUAGAAAAAGUGAGGAAUAGUCUUUAAUACUCAAAAAGCUAUGUUUGUUACAGAAAAAAAGACAAAGGAAAAAAUCUUAUUCUUUUGAGGAAAAGCACUGAGCAAUGUAGCUUGAGUGUAGGGUACAUGUGCCGGGUGAUGGGGGAUUAGGACCAAAUUGCUGUACUUCUGCCAAAUUGUGGAGUUUGGUUUUUAGUCUACAUAAAAGGCAAAUGAUUUAAGGUUUGUAAUAAGGGAAAAGAUGUAGUCAAAUAUGAAUCAAAUGAAUAAGUACAGCAGCAGCAUGUAUAAAAACAAGGCAUGUGCAAUGAUUAAUUUUAUGUAUCUACUUGACUGGUGCCCAGAUAUUUGGUCAAACAUUAUUACAGAUUUGUCUGUGAAGUGUUUUGGGGUAAGAUUAAUAUUUGAAUUGGUAGAUGGAAUAACACAGAUUGUCCUUCAUAAUAUGAAUGGCCCUCAUCCAAUCAGUUGAAGGCCUGAAUAGAACAAAAAUUCUGAGUAAGCAGGAACUGCCCCCUCUGCCUGAUUGCUUUGAGCUGGGACUUUGAUCUUUUCCUGCUUUGAGACAUGAACUAAAACAUCAGCUCUUGGGUUUUUACCCUGCCAGCUUUCGGACUCGAAUGUUCACCAUUGACUUCCCUGGUUCUCAGGACUUUGGACUUAGGCUGGAACUGCAUCAUCAUCAGCUCUGAUGGGUCUCCAGCAUGCUGAAUGCAGAUAUUGGGACUUCGCAGCCUCCAUAAUCAUUCCUUCAGCUUUGAUGACCAUCCUCAAAAUAACAAACUCUUUCCUUGGUUUUUGUUUGACUUCUGUUAAGGACGCUGAUCAGAAACUGACUCCAUUACUAGUUCCAAGGAUGAGGCAUCAUUGAUCCAGAGUUAAUUCCACCAUUUUGAUCACUUUGAUACAAAGAUUGAUUCAGAGGUUGGCUUAUGACUCUAUUCACACACAUAUGACUUGAGGGGAGUUUUGCUGGAAGCUUCUGGGAAGAAAUAUCUUAGCGUAUGAGCCACAGAAAAAGAAACUCUGCUCAUCUCUGGGAAACUUAGUGUGCGGAAAGCCUGAAAACGCUGUAUGCAUUUUACUGCUGUGAAAGAGGCUAACUUCUGGAUGAAGCUAGCACACAGAGGAGGGGCCAGAUAACAAAGUCAGAGAACAAUGAAACUGGAUUAAGCCUGAAGCAAAGCCUUCCCUGUCUGACAUGGACUUCCAGCCAUGUGAGCCAAUUAAUAUAUGGGGUACAGGAGAUUGAAUUGUGAAUCCUAUUACUUGCUCCUCAAAGACAGGAUGUAAUUCAAUAAUAAAUCCACAUUUUAUAGUGGAAUUGUUCUCGGACCAAACCAAGGGUCAGGCUGCAUACUUUUGUGGCCCAAUAACGAGAUGCAGAUGAACUGGGAAAGAAGAGACUUUAUUUCUGUAACUGGGUACAGGAAGAAGGCUGGGGAAAUACCACCAGACCAACUCAAAAUUACAAAGUUUUGCAGAGCUUAUGUAACUUCUAAGCUAUCUGUCUACAUGUAAGUGUGCAUUCAUCUAAAGACAUAAGUGAUUAACUUCUCAUCUGUAACUAAGAUCUGAGUCUUGAAGACCUUCCUCUGGAGCCUGAGUAAAUUUACUUAAUCCAAAUGGGUCCAGGUACCAGAGAGAUUACCCUUACCUUGUCUCCUACUAAAUCGUGGAGGUUUGGGGAGUUCCUUUAGUCCCCAGUAAAGCUUGCUUGUGGCAGUCUGGGGAGGUCCUUCAGGCCCCCAAUAAAACAUGUUUAAUUGUAAAGGGGUCCUGUUAAGAAUUCCUUCGUUAUCUUGUCAUGCUUCAAGGCCCAAGACAGGACUAGGCAAAACUAUUGGUGGGAUUUUGUUGCCUUCCAGCCUAUGUAUGAGAACACUGGCUCUAUUAAACUACACAGUGCUGAAACAGUUGUCAUGGAGGCCUGCCUGUUCAGCUGUUAGUGAGACCUGGCCUGUCACAGUAUCACCUAAAGUAAGAAGAAAAAAGGGGACCUGAUACAUUUAUAGUAUCAUGGACGAAAGGACUUAUGAACGAGUAUCAAUUUUUUUGUUUGUUUUUUUGAGAUGGAGUCUUGCUUUGUUGCCCAGGCUGGAGUGCAGUGGCAUGAUCUCGGCUCACUGGAACCUCUGCCUUCCAGGUGCAAGCGAUUCUCCUGCCUCAGUCUCCUAGGUAGCUAGGAUUACAAGCGUGCACCACCACACCCAGCUAAUUUUUGUUUUUUUUUAAGUGGAGAUGGGGUUUCACCAUGUUGACCAGGCUGGUUUCAAACUCCUGACCUCAGGUGAUCGACCGGCCUUGGCCUCCCAAGGUGCUGGGGUUACAGGAGUGAGCCACCAUGCCCGGCCUAAUUUUUAAAAUACAUAAUUAUCUUUAAAAUAAGUGACUGAUCAUUCCACAUUAAUAACCUACCAUGUGUCCCAGGCCUUAGUCACCUAUACCCCUAUCUCAAGCAUUGAAAAAGAAAAACCAAGAUCUUUCUUUAUUGCCUAGAACAAUGUUAGAGACUAAGAGGUAGAAAUGUGUUUUUCUAAAAAUUGUUAGUAUAUUAGAGCUCACAGCAAGAGAGCUCCAUGGUUCUGAUCUGAUUCUGAGGGAUUAGGCUGUGGAAACUCGGCAUCACAUAUCAGAGGUUGUAUUUACAGCAGGUAGAGGCCUGCUUAGCCUUCAGAGCAAAUAGCUGUGUACUGUAGCCUGUUUGAUUGACAAAGAUUCUUCACAGAAGCCAAUUAUUUUCCUAAAAUGGAUUUUUGUUAAAUAAUAUUAUCCAUGUGGGUUUCUUACUUACCGCAUAAAAUCUUGCCUGUGGCCUUGCACGAUAGACUUUUAAGGAUUGGUUUUGUAAAAAACAAUAAAUGAAGUAGGUCACAA